GUGCGGAAGAGACCGGGUCACACCGGCGCCGAAGGAGCAACCGCCCCGGAAACUCUCAGGCAAAAGGACCGGCAG
rnacentral:ncRNA from 1 species